rnacentral:sRNA from 1 species
UGAAAAACGUCUUGCAACCAUGUGAAGAGGGAUUACCUCCUGGCAUGGGCUCUGCUCGUAUAAGUUCUUAUGUGUGAUAAUGCAUAAGAAUGAAAACCAUUAUAGUAAUAUAACGGUAAUCCUUACUUGGAAAAUAAGGUUGAGUAGAAAUCGCAGCAAGCUAGGUAAGACAUAAGCAAAGCUAGAACAGGGGAUGACAAGAGGCUCCGUAGUAAUACGUCCCACCUAAGGUGUGAUGUCUGAGAAACAUCAUUCCUGGUACUCACAAGAAAUCCUUUGGUUUGAUGUCAGGCAACUGACUAUAACUGUUCGACGCUGUUUGAGUAGCGGUAUGCCAAAUCCAGAAAUUGAGAUCGUUCACCUGAUAAGUGAAAAUAGAACAUUGCUGAAGUUCCGUGAAAAUUGGAGGAGAUUGAUUCCUCCCGUUGUCCGUCUAUGACCAUUUGAGAAGUAUAUGGGUAGCUCCCAUAUAUUCAGCCUCAAGUGAACGUGUGUGAAAUAAUGUCUGAUAGUAAUUAGCUGUACGGUGAAAAUCGGCAAUUCGUUUU